GGUCUGGCCGGGUCCGGUCCCGGGCUGCGGGGUGGUUCGGAGGCCCGGCGGGGGCGCUGGCACGCGCGCCCCCAUUGUUUGGAAAUGGUGUUUGUUCGCAGACGCGUAAUGGAAAUGGUUCGGGAGAGCGUCUCGCUGAUGGUGGGACACUGGGGCAGCAGUGACUCGAGCACAAGGCAGUGCUGGAUAAAGCAGCAUCAGCCAUCUCUCUCAAUUGCAGCAGUUCCCUGCAGAGCACAAGGGUGCAAGUGGAUUUUGUAGCUCAUCUUCAAAAUCACAGCAGAAGCAGUUGCUUCUCCAGUUCAGCAUCAAGCUGAUAAAAGCACAGCACAGGAAUGCAUGCAGGAGUCAGAGCAGUGAUUUUCCCAUCCAUGAUCCAUUGGCUCCUUUGGCUCUCAGAGGGAUGCAGAAGGCUCUCAGGAGAGGCUCACUAUGUCUGUGGACAUUUUUGAUUAGUUGGGUUUGAUUCCAGUUUCGCUGAAUGAACAAAUGAAGCUGGUUCAGCAAACCCAUUUAUUGAUUUAUUUGUUUAAAGACAUGUAUUUUACAGUGAUGCCAUGGAGACAACACCACAACAUGGUUAUGUAGUGCAUGGAAAGAGAGCAUUCACAUGUGUGUGAGUUGAGGUGACAUCACCCAGCUAAGGACAUCUCUGCUUGGACUGGAGAGCUCAGUGUGCAGUUCAUGUUGGUCAAAGGCAAAAUGUUCCUAAAUUCAUAACUGAACCAGCUCUCUAGGAGUGGAAGUAAGCACAAUUCUUGAGCUGACUCAAAAAAAAAAGAAAAGAAAUUGGAUUUAUUUUUUAUACUUUUUCUCCUAAUUGCUCUAAAACAAUUUAAUUUUAAAAUCACCCCUACUGAAAAAUCUUGGAUA